UAGGUUGAGGAGGCGGUGACCGUGGUGGUGGAGGAUGAUGUAGCCAACUAUAUAUAUAUAUAUAUAUAUAUAUAUUAUAUAUUUGAGGUAGCCCCCAAAAUAUUGGGACAUAUAAAAAAAGUCAACUCUGGUCCGCAGAGUAGCUGUUGACAUUAUAGUUGUGCAGGCACUUUGUUGACUAUAGAAAACCUAGGGCGAAUCGCACAUCUCCGUAGCUGAGACUUUGCAUGCGGAUGUCAUCCAUAUCAACUUUCAAUGCCAGUUUCUGCGCCUACCAUUGUGACCACGGGUAAUGAGGAUUCAAGGUUCCAUUCUGUACAGGGACACUGAGAAACGGCUACCACAUGCAAGGAAGGCAGCAGGCGCGCAAAUGACCCACUCCCGACGGGGGAAGGUAGUGACGACAAAUAACAAUACAGGACUAUUUAGAGGCCCUGUAAUUGUAAUUAGUCCACUUGAAAUCCUUUAACUCUGAUCGAUUGGAGGAAAGUCUGGUGCAGAGCCACUGAUCCGUG
rnacentral:rRNA from 1 species